GAGGCGAAGGCGAACUUCUGGGUCAAGACUGACGCUGAGUCACGAAAGCGUAGGGAGCAAACAGGAUUAGAUACCCUGGUAGUCUACGCUGUAAACGAUGCACACUUGGUGUUAACUAAAAGUUAGUACCGAAGCUAACGUGUUAAGUGUGCCGCCUGGGGAGUAUGCUCGCAAGAGAGAAACUCAAAGGAAUUGACGGGGGCCCGCACAAGCGGUGGAGCAUGUGGUUUAAUUCGAUGAUACGCGAGGAACCUUACCAGGGCUUGACAUAUAUAGGAUAUAGUUAGAGAUAAUUAUUCCCCGUUUGGGGUCUAUAUACAGGUGCUGCAUGGUUGUCGUCAGCUCGUGCUGUGAGGUGUUGGGUUAAGUCCCGCAACGAGCGCAACCCUUGUUAUCUGUUACCAGCAUGUAAUGGUGGGGACUCAGAUAAGACUGCCGGUGAUAAGUCGGAGGAAGGUGAGGAUGACGUCAAAUCAUCAUGGCCCUUAUGUCCUGGGCUACACACGUGCUACAAUGGCCUGUACAAAGCGAGGCGAAGCAGUGAUGUGAAGCAAAACGCAUAAAGCAGGUCUCAGUCCGGAUUGAAGUCUGAAACUCGACUUCAUGAAGUUGGAAUCGCUAG
rnacentral:rRNA from 1 species